GACGAACGCUGGCGGCGUGCUUAACACAUGCAAGUCGAACGGACAGGCCCUGCUUUUGUGGGGUGCUCGAGUGGCGAACGGGUGAGUAACACGUGAGUAACCUGCCCUUGACUUUGGGAUAACUUCAGGAAACUGGGGCUCAUACCGGAUAGGAGCUCCUGCUGCAUGGUGGGGGUUGGAAAGUUUCGGCGGUUGGGGAUGGACUCGCGGCUUAUCAGCUUGUUGGUGGGGUAGUGGCUUACCAAGGCUUUGACGGGUAGGCGGCCUGAGAGGGUGAACGGGGACAUGGGGACUGAGAGACGGCGCAGAAGCGUACGGGACGCAGCAGGCGGGAAUAUGGCACAGCGGGCGGAAGUCUGAUGCAGCAACGCCGCGUGCGUGAUGACGGGCUUCGGGUUGUAAACCGCUGUCGCCGGUGACGAAGCGGGAGUGACGGUAAUGGGUAAAGAAGCACCGGCUAACUACGUG
rnacentral:rRNA from 1 species